rnacentral:tRNA from 1 species
ACGGAUUUAGUUCAAAGGUAGAAUAAAAGUCUCCAAAACUUCUGAUAUGGGUUCGAUUCCUAUAAUCCGUGCCA